rnacentral:rRNA from 1 species
GACGAACGCUGGCGGCGCGCCUAACACAUGCAAGUCGAGCGAGAAGCGACCUUCGGGGACGUGGAAGCGGCGAACGGGUGAGUAUCACGUGGGUAAUCUGCCCUCGGUUCUGGGAUAGCCCGGGGAAACCCGGAUUAAUACCGGAUAGCCUCUCGAGCUCUCGAGCUCGCGAGAAAAGGUAGCUUCGGCCUCUGACCGAGGAUGAGCCCGCGGCGGAUUAGCUAGUUGGUGAGGUAACGGCUCACCAAAGCGACGAUCCGUAGCUGGUCUGAGAGGACGAUCAGCCACACUGGGACUGAGACACGGCCCAGACUCCUACGGGAGGCAGCAGUGGGGAAUCUUGCGCAAUGGGCGAAAGCCUGACGCAGCGACGCCGCGUACGGGAAGAAGGCCUUCGGGUUGUAAACCGUUUUCAGGAGGGACGAAGCCACUCGAGUUAAUAGCUCAGAGGGUGACGGUACCUCCAGAAGAAGCCCCGGCUAACUACGUG